AACGACGACGUGUGCGCGCAACGGUUGGGGUUGGCCAGUGUUGCACGAAACCUUGCCACUCGCGACGCGCGGCGGUUCGUCGACGGUGAUAGAGCCGCGGAAACACGGAUUUUUAACUCGCGCGGCCGCUUUCCCCGGGGCCCGUAUACCUCCUGUUAUCGUCGCGAUACCUGAGAGCCGCGAGCGAACGUGGCGCGCCGCAAACACCGUACACAUCGCGCUAUCGUCCUACGGACUCGGGAUUACGGUCGUCGAUCCUUAACCUCAAAAAUAAAUAAGACGACAUGUCGUUGAGAAAGGAUAGCAAGAGUAGUCUGUGUUGAAGAACGUGAUCGAGCUUUAAAGUGGAACGGUGAAGGUUUUGCACACAGGUGGGACAGCCGGAGGAUAAUAACACGAGUAUCAAGCGUGGAGUUAGUUUUUCGGCCUCGUCCAGGACACGGUUACGUGUCGUACGUUUCGUGGCCGCACGGUGAAGUGUGCUACUUUGAUAGGUAACAGGGUUCAGGUGUACGUUGACCCAGAAGUGAGUAGUGUUCGGGACGGAUAGCGACGGAAACGAAAGGUAGACCCUGGCACGAUGCAGACGCAGGGCGCUACGAGGGGACCGACUCACUUGGUUGCCCUUUAUGUGGCCACGGCGGGUCUCCAGGGUAAUGCUCUCGGCUCCGACGAGGAAGAGAUCACACUGUUGGUUUACGUGCUCAUCGACGUGCAACAGAACAGGGUGAUGGGAAGACAACAGUAUAUUGUACGACCGAUGGUAAUGGACGAAAGUUGUACGCCUGGAACCGGUAGCGACAAUCCGGCGAUUGCCGGAAGUAGUGGAGUCAUCAGCGAAGUAGCCUUAGCACACGCUCCGGCGUUAUCCGAAAGAAAUCUUCGAGAGCACGGAAUUCCUCUGGAGCAAGCUAUCGAGAAGUUUGAAGCAUGGUGGUCCGCCAUGUCGUGCGUGACGUCCGGUUCCGCACCACGUUUCGUCGUAGACGGUCAGGCGCCGAUGAGACAAUGCUUACAUCCAGAAGCCUGCAACAAAGACAUCAACCUGCCAGAACAUUAUACCCUCUUUCACGAUCUCCGGAAGGAAUUCGUUGCUUGCUACUCUACCCAUGGAGAGCUCUCGACAUUUGGAAUACAGGAGAUGAUGGAAUAUUUUGGCCUACCGUUAGAUACUGAGAACGAGUUCUAUGUGCAUGAAAUACAAGAUAUGAUCUGUGUAAUACAGAGGAUGAUAAAAGAUGGUCACGUCUUCCAAAAUCCUGAAACAGUUAAUAUUGUUUUAGAACCUGGUAUAUGCUCAAAAGAUGAAGAAGUUGACAAUGGCUGUGUAGUAAGAGCUAGAGGUCUUCCUUGGCAAUCAUCGGACCAGGACAUAGCAAAAUUUUUUCGUGGCCUAAAUGUUGCCAAGGGUGGUGUAGCUCUGUGUUUAAGUCCUAUGGGAAGACGUAACGGAGAAGCAUUAGUACGAUUUGUUAACAAAGAACAUAGAGACAUGGCGUUAAAAAGACACAAACACCAUAUGGGUGGAAGGUACAUAGAAGUAUACAAGGCAUCUGGAGAGGAUUUUGUUGGCGUUGCUGGAGGAACUAGCGGGGAAGCUCAUGCAUUUUUAUCUAGAGGAGCUCAAGUUAUCGUUAGAAUGAGAGGCUUGCCGUAUGACUGUGUUGCUAAACAAGUGUUGGACUUCUUCUUGUCAGGGCAAAAGCCCUGUCAUGUAUUGGAUGGAGAAGAUGGAGUUUUAUUUGUGAAGAAGCCGGAUGGUAGGGCAACUGGAGACGCGUUUGUUCUUUUUGCUAAAGAAGAAGACGCAGUGAAGGCCUUAAGUAAACACAGAGAUUGCAUUGGUAGCCGGUAUAUAGAACUUUUUCGAAGUACGAUUGCCGAGGUGCAACAGGUUUUGAAUAGAGCGAUCGAUCCGAAACAGAUUGUACUUCCAACGCCGCCUAUUCCACAACUUCCUCCCAUACUUCCACAACAUAUUAUCACCUCUGGCACGCGUAAAGAUUGCGUUAGAUUACGCGGCCUUCCAUACGAAGCUCUUGUUGAACACAUUCUCGAGUUCAUGGGCGAACAUUCUAAGAAUAUCGUUUACCAGGGUGUUCAUAUGGUUUACAAUGCUCAAGGUCAACCAUCCGGCGAAGCGUUUAUUCAAAUGGACAGCGAAAAUUCGGCAUAUGCAUGCGCGUCGCAGCGACAUCAUCGGUAUAUGAUAUACGGCAAGAAACAGCGAUACAUCGAAGUAUUCCAGUGCAGUGGAGAUGACAUGAAUCUGGUAUUGACAGGUGCAGUAACUCCAGCGUCAACCAAGGCUCUGCUAUCACCCGGUACGUUGACCACACAAACUCCUGCAACUUUGACACAUCCGCCUCCGCCGACGCCGGUACCGGUACCGGUACCGACGGCGCAACCCCCCCUCUGGGACAUUCACGCGUUAGUACAGGCUCAAGCCCAAGCACAAGCGCAGGCUCAAGCGCAAGCUCAAGCUCAGGCUCAAGCGCAGGCAAUCCGAAAUCAAGACUUUUGGCUAAUGGCUCUAGCCUCGAAUCCACCACCUACCUCUACCACUCCUGCUUCCCCAACUUCGUCAGCUACGACUAAGACGCUCGCUCUACCGGGACCGAAUCCGCAGCAUCAGAUUCCUGCCUAUGCAAUGGCACCUCCCUCGGCAGCCGCUGCCGCCGCGGCUGCUGCGGCGCUUCACGCUCAACAACCCGCGCCGGCGCCCUUCUUACUUUUUAACGUACCCUCUCGAAUCCCUAUUUUACGUGCACCGGCACCGCAUGGUCUCCUGACACCUAUCGUUCAGGCUGCGCCCAUUAAUCCGGCCGCUAUAAUGGGACUGAAGAGAACUUGGGAAACCGCUUUCCCACCCGAUACAUCAAGCACAGUCGCGAAACGUGCCACGUGGCACACACCAGCGACCGCAUUUCACGCGCAAGCUCCUACCGCGGCACCGGGCUUGCCUUAUCCUGCUCAAUUUUAUCCUCAGAUUUGAUAGGUUAAGCCGCUAGUAUCGACGAUAAUCGUUCUAAACACAGCUGGCGAACGAUGUGUCUUCUUCUUAAUGCAUCUCUCUUCUAUGUAUUUUUCUACAUUGUAGGUUGAAUUCGAAUAAGAAUCGAUCGGCCAAUAUGGACCAAUAAUUAUUCGUUCCUUCGUACGUUUCUCGUAGUCGUUGCAACGAGAGGUUGUGAUUUUGAGACAUUUAUUUGCCGCGCGAGUAACGGGCAAAUUUAUUCCAGUUGCGUCGUUACCGCGUGAAAGAGUGUUGUACGAUUACCACGAUGGACGAUUUAUUCUUCUACGAAUAUAUACGAUACAUGCUAUCGUGUCCAAGGCAACUAUUUACAGAUCACAUUCCGCAUGAUAUUCUGUGCAAACCCUUUUUUCAUAUUAUUGUGUUAUUUUAGUCAGUUAUUUUAGAGAUCGUUUGCCCUCGAACUAACGAUUUAUACAUAUAUAUUCCUUCAACUAAAGAUAUAAACAUAUAUAUUUAAUCAUUAUAUAUAUAUAUAUAUACACACACACACACAUAUGUUAUAUAUCUAUAUAUAUAAUCGUUUCAGAGAUGGUUUUUUUUUUGAUACUUAAUUGAGCAGCAGUACUUAGAGCGUUUUUCUUUAUGUUAUUUCCUUACACAACGUAUGAGUUUUUCGAUGGUCGCGUUACAUGGGCCAGAAUAUAUCGUUAGCAAGUGACUAUGUAUCUUUCUCUUUCUCUUUGUUAUACGUGUUCUUUGUACUUUAUAGAAGUUGUUCUUUCAAUUUGUCGUAUAUGACAUGUGCUUAGUAAAGUGCCUUAAAACGUGAAUCAUGAAUUAUGAACUAUUCGCCUUAGGACGUAAUUUCAUUUCGAAGAUUUCGGAAUUUAUAUGCGCAUGUAAAUAUAUACAGAUAAUAGAUUUAUAUAUAUAUUAACAGAAAUUGAAACAUAAACGCAGACAUAUACACACAUAUAUAUAUAUAGAUAUAUAUAUAAGAAUGAUUUAUAUAUUUUGCUAGAAAUAUUUUUAUUAGGGAUAUAAGUAAAUGGACAUUCCAUCCAAUGUUAUCGGUUUUUAAGCUCUAAUUCACGGAGAAUAGCUUCUUCUUUACGCGGCAUCUACUUUACGCACGUCCAUGUUUAGGAUAAAAAUUCUUUUCAUUUUCUUUCCAAGCAAGAGCCUGAAGUUACAUUGCAGUUUCACAUCAAAACGAUAUUAUUUCGAUUGCAAUUGCAAUGCGCGUGAGCUUCCUGAGCCAGUCGAUUCGACGUGACCGAUAAGAAAAGUCCCACGACGAGAUUCACAAAUCCAUUUCUAGCCCUCGCCACAUUCCUAAGAGAACUUGCUGUUCUCUGUGCCGCGUAGAGGACACUUCGAGCUCGAAACAGGAAAACCAAUCGAGGCAAUAUGCUCAGUCACGUUGCGCUUUUACGCGAACGUUCCUCGGUGGUGCAAAUACGUUCGUUGAUUGGAUUAGUUGUGUUAAACGUUACGAGAGUUUGGUGAAUGGUACAUAAAGCACGAAGAAGAAAAGAAUGUAUAUUAGAGAACGGUAGUGUUAUUGGCAUCAAUUGGUGGAACGAUUGGAGGAAAAGGCGUGACGAGGGGCCUGACAUCGAGCGUACGUGGAAAGCUCGCAUCCCGUAGAAAUAAACGACGACCGAUAUUUUUACUGCCAUUACGAAACAGCUUUUUUUCCAGAAUAGUUCAAGCGAUCGCGAAGCUCACCUUAGCCUUUCGUCCUUCGCUACUACUCUUUAUUAUGGUUUUUCUGUAUACUCGAUCUCGGUGUUACCGCGGAGCAACGUGAAGUGCUGUCCAGUGAUUACACAGAUUUUUCUUGCCACGUUUCUCUAUACGUUUUCUCCUUCUCUUUUUUUUUUUUUUGUCUAUUUUUUUACACGCACUCAUAUAUACAUAUACAGAUAAUGUAGAGCGUGAAUUAGCGAUUCUACGAAUCAUGGAAACGGCACGAGGCGCACACGACGAUCGUUCUUAUUGCUCCGAAGUAUAAAGUCCACGGGCAUAGAAAUGACUGGUUUGCAUGUCGUGGUUUUGUGGAGGGACGUGCAUACAAGUACCUGUAAUAUCCUUCUUCGUUACCUAUCGUUUACGAGACGACAGACUUACGUAACGGGUCGAGUUACUUUUUUCUGUUUUUUUCCCCCUAAUGCGUAAUUACGUACAUUAUAUAUUAGUCGGUUUUUUCUCUUCCCCUUCCAAAACUUUGCCUUCCUCUCCGACCCUUUCCAUAAUUGUCGCAUUCCUUUCCAUGUCAUAACGCACGUAGACUAUCUGAUAAUACAUCUUGUAACAGUUCCCUUCUCCCCCCCCUUCCCCCUUCCUCCCUCACCUCGUACGUCUAUUUAUACGUAAUCCUAUAUAAUUCUCGCACAACGCCUUCCUCUGUUUGAUAGGAUACGGUAGCGUAUUACGUAGAAUUGAGUAGUACCUUUGGUAUACACCUAGUCUUGUUUUGUUGUUACAAUUGCAGUGCAAAGUGUGUACGACAUUCGACGAAUACUUUGCAAGCUGGUUCGCACGUGUGUAAGCGAAUAGAGACUGUUUGUCCGUCGAAUAAAAACAUUGUCAAGUAUCGAUAUAGUGCCUGGAAUUGUAAAGAGACGAACGCGUACUUUGGUACUCGGGUCGUGCACAUUUUACAUUCCAAUCUUACCGAUGUAACUCGAGAAUCGGGAUAUAGUCUGCCGAUAUUAUUUAUGUCGGGCUUCCUGAGUCUGCUUUUAUAUAGCAUUGAUAGACAUCUUAGAGAUUUGAACGGUGUGACGCGAAACGGACCAAUCUGAUUUUACUUUCAGAGUUGUUUCUGUGGAUCUAAGGAUAUACAGAUGCAGUAAUUUAUAGAUCAGGGCAAUGAUAUUUGAUUUGGGGAGUCGACCGUGUCUAAAUUUCAUUGGUCGAUUUGAUCGUAAAAAUGAUUAACGAUAAGUUGAUACAGAGAUGUUCAAAUUCGUACUAAAAAGAAACGAAGAUUGGUUAUAAAUUCCAUCGGUUAGAAUUUUCUACAGAAUUUAUUAUUUCAAAUAGUAGAUGCAUCGCAGUCGUUGUUACGGAACAAGAAUCAUGACCUAUAUUAAUUGAUAAUAUCUUAGAAAAGAUCAGAAAUUCGCGUUUAUUCCAAACAGCCUCGAAUAAAAACGUGUCACGAUUUACGUCCCUUAGAUCCAUAGUCGUUUCCUCGACUUCUUACAUUUACGUAGUCUCCAUUUCGCGUCGCUACUGUGGAGGCGCAUCUUGGUGUGUUUUUAAAACGCGAAUAAUCAAGAAAUGUAUCCGUCGGAAGUGUCGAGAAGUUUCCAAGCUUAUCGCAUACUUAAAUCUUCCUUACGGUAUUAGUACAAUGUUUCGUUAA